GAGUGAAUGGAUGGAAAGAGAUGCCAGCUGAGCUCUGCCUACUUCAAGGUCACUAGAGGGGAGUAUAUGACAUCCUCUUGGAGACUUGAGCUGAGGAAAAAAAUAUCCCCCUGCAAGUUCAUCGUGGAUACCUCCGAGGACAACACACACACUAUCAAAGCCUGAGCCACACCGAUACUUGAGGUUGGACCAAAUGAUGUUUUCUUGGGAGAAGCAGAACACACCAAGCCGGCCUCCACGCAUGGUGGUGUCUAUGGUGACUCCGGAGUCGGCCACCAACUCAGAG